rnacentral:rRNA from 1 species
UACGUAGGGUCCGAGCGUUGUCCGGAAUGAUUGGGCGUAAAGGGCUCGUAGGCGGUUUGUCGCGUCGGGAGUGAAAACUCAGGGCUCAACCCUGAGCGUGCUUUCGAUACGGGCAGACUAGAGGUAUGCAGGGGAGAACGGAAUUCCUGGUGUAGCGGUGGAAUGCGCAGAUAUCAGGAGGAACACCGGUGGCGAAGGCGGUUCUCUGGGCAUUACCUGACGCUGAGGAGCGAAAGCAUGGGGAGCGAACAGG